UAAAAGGUUCUUUUAGGAACCAACUAAAAUACUUUUUUUCACUGUAU
rfam:Astyanax mexicanus chromosome 3, whole genome shotgun sequence.